UACGUAGGGUGCAAGCGUUAAUCGGAAUUACUGGGCGUAAAGAGCUCGUAGGCGGUUUGUCGCGUCGUCCGUGAAAACUUGGGGCUCAACCCCAAGCUUGCGGGCGAUACGGGCAGACUUGAGUACUGCAGGGGAGACUGGAAUUCCUGGUGUAGCGGUGAAAUGCGCAGAUAUCAGGAGGAACACCGGUGGCGAAGGCGGGUCUCUGGGCAGUAACUGACGCUGAGGAGCGAAAGCGUGGGUAGCGAACAGG
rnacentral:rRNA from 1 species